GUCAGUGCUACAUCCACACCUGCCCCUGGCCAGCUCCUUUGCAUGUAUGAGCUGCUCCCCCUAUGACACCCCCACUCACUCUUUGUUAGUUCUAGGAUGAAACAAGCUGAACAUGGAAAUAUCAGAGGCUGCUCAGUGCCACAUGCAGUUUGCAGCGGUUUUCCAACUGUAAGCAUUAUGUUUGAAGGCCCUCUUGGCUGGAACAAAGACUAUAAACAAGUAUGAACUGUCACCUUCAGAAGAAACAGAAAAAAGACCUAGAAAGAGCUUUGUGCUAAUAAUAAAGAGAUGCAUCUA